ACAACUGUCUCAUAAGAACUUUUUUUUAUUAUUUAGAAAUGCAGUUAUAUACAUAGAAUUAAAAUUAAAUUAAACUUUGUACAAAUAUUAAAAUACUAUCUUCACACCCACUGCAAUGUACAGGAUACCAAAAAAUAUAUAUAAAAUAAAGCAAACCCAAACUGAUUGACAUCCUGCACAGUCUAUGAUGCAAGUGUUGUUUUAAACCAUUACGAGUACCAUUCUGCAAGGUUCCAUAGUGGUGUGAAAAGCCAGGGCAGUGUGUGGCAGGCAGCCACACAACCCGCAUCCCUCUCUCCUUCCUGCCGGGCAAUCCAAGUGCUCUGCCCCUGCACUCUCUCCA